AGGGCGCUACCAUGCAGUCGAGCGAACCUUCGGGUUAGCGGCGGACGGGUGAGUAACGCGUGGGAACGUACCCUCUUCUGCGGGAUAGCCACUGGAAACGGUGAGUAAUACCGCAUACGCCCUUCGGGGGAAAGAUUUAUCGGAGGAGGAUCGGCCCGCGUUGGAUUAGGUAGUUGGUGGGGUAAUGGCCUACCAAGCCUACGAUCCAUAGCUGGUUUUAGAGGAUGAUCAGCCACACUGGGACUGAGACACGGCCCAGACUCCUACGGGAGGCAGCAGUGGGGAAUCUUAGACAAUGGGCGCAAGCCUGAUCUAGCCAUGCCGCGUGAGUGACGAAGGCCUUAGGGUCGUAAAGCUCUUUCGCCAGAGAUGAUAAUGACAGUAUCUGGUAAAGAAACCCCGGCUAACUCCGUGCCAGCAGCCGCGGUAAUACGGAGGGGGUUAGCGUUGUUCGGAAUUACUGGGCGUAAAGCGCACGUAGGCGGAUUGGAAAGUUGGGGGUGAAAUCCCAGGGCUCAACCCUGGAACUGCCUCCAAAACUCCCAGUCUGGAGUUCGAGAGAGGUGAGUGGAAUUCCGAGUGUAGAGGUGAAAUUCGUAGAUAUUCGGAGGAACACCAGUGGCGAAGGCGGCUCACUGGCUCGAUACUGACGCUGAGGUG
rnacentral:rRNA from 1 species